rnacentral:misc_RNA from 1 species
GCAACAGCAGCCUGAACAAUCUGUUGGAGAAGAACACCUUUAACAACCUCUUUUUUUGACACCAAAUUCUUCUCAUCCUCAUCUUUCUUAGAAUGCAACCUAUAAUUAUCCAUAUUCCCAAGCAUUAAAUACAAUCCUGAAUAUACCCAAUACACAACUAUUGGUAUAAAUGUUCCCAAAACUUCAUCUGACACAUAUCCUCCCUUCCCCUGUUGAUCAAUAUUCACACUACCCACCAUCUCAAAAAUACAAACUAUUACCAAG